AUGAAUUUAUGAUAGGGCAAUUGACCUGGCACUGCGCAUGCAAUCCGUCCGUGAGAUGCAGAAUUGAUCGAAAUGCCAGUUUCCGGAUUUUUUUGUUCCAUUAUUUCAAUUUUUGUGUUGAAUCUGCUGCUCACUUGGGAUGUCCCGGAGACUGCAGCGGCCCAUACCGCAUGCAAAAUCCCCGCCGUGCCCAACGCAGAGAUUGUGACCAAUGCCGAUGACUAUGGGGACUAUGGGGAUUACGGUGAGGAGAAAGCCGGUGCAGUGCCAAAUGAGGACUACAUUUCGAUACAAUGUUACUAUGGUUUCACCUCGGAGUCGAGGACCACCCUCUUCACCUGUCGGAAUGGAACAUGGUCACCACAACUUCCGACCUGCAAGAAAGUUCUCAUAGUGAAAAAGCCAUCUGUAUCAAACUGCGUGUUGCCGCCACUGCUUUAUGGCACCAUCCUUUUUGAGGGUAAAUUACCGCCGCCCAAAAUGGUCCCUGUUGGUAGUAACAUCACGUUCACCUGCAUCGAAGGCUACCGCCUCGAGGGGGCAACCGGCCUCACCUGCAAACCUGAUCUCCAAUGGAAGCAAGCAGUGCCAAUUUGCAUAUCACUCGCCAGCAAUAGCUGUCCGAUACCAAGAAUUGAGAACAGCCGCAUCUAUAUGCGUCGCGUGGAAAUCCAUGACUUGCAGAUCAGAAUCAAUCCCGGGGAGGAAAUGGAUAUCGGGUGUGCGCCAGGGUAUCGGAGAGUGGGGUCGAGAUAUUUGAAAUGCCGGGAGGAUGGAACUCUGAGUCCACAUUCACCUGUGUGCAGGGUACAGAUAUAUCGGUUUGGAGCAUGCUUCUUACCGAAAGUAAAUAACGCCCAAUAUUUGAAUAUCAGUCUCGAAGACUGGAACGACAUCCGGAUGAAAGGUUUAAACCUCACGAAAUAUCAAAACCAUUCCAUCGUCAACGAGGAUGGACAUGUAGACAAAACUAUGAUUCAGAUUCCUUUGGGAACGAUUGUUGCUGUAAGAUGCAACAUAGACUUUGAAAUUAUUGGUCAGCCAGUCAUCAAAUGCAACCAGUCUGAACCUGUCGCCAAAUUCGAAUGGCCGCGAUGUCAACGACCCAACAAGGUGGAUAAAGGUAGCAACCAAGGUAUAAGUGUCGUACCCAUUGGAAUUUCUGUAGCAGCUGGGAUAGUCAUACUUCUGGCAGUGAUAGUUGGAGUCAUUAUCUGGAGGAGACGUCGGCAGCCAGCAAGGCAACAGAAUUCCCAUAAUAUACAUAUAUCUGGACGUCAAGGCAGUCGUGGUGAUCUAAAUGGUCCAACAGCAUCCGUGUAAAGAAGAUACUGCAAUAUAUGCGGUAGUCAUGACACUAACAAAGAACCUGCUCUUGGGAAAAAAAGUCUAACCUCGUUUGAUAACAAAGAGGCCCAAGAGGUGCUCAGCUGAAAUACUCGGGUACAAUAUACCAAACAUGGAAAGUACCUGAAACCGCAAGUGACUUCAUGAGAGCUCGACUACCACUAUUUACUAUGAACCCAGAUUAAAUAGUAAAGAAGCUUGUGUUGUAGGAAUCACCUGACAAAACCAAAAAAACAAACACAUUUUUUGGAAAAUUUACUGCAUUAAAAGACUGUUUCUCAAGUAUUCUAAAGCAAUCCAUACUGCACGACUUACAGGGUACUGUAGGCACAGUUUGUGCAGUUCGAAGUCGGACAUGACACCCAUAUCCUCGAAUAUCAGCUGCGGGUCAGCUGCCACGUGGUCUGGAUCCUGUAAACAACAAAUCCAAAUCUGAAAUAACUAUGUCAUGUACAGUGGAACCUCCGUUAGUGGACACCUCUCUAUUAAGGACAACCUCUCUAUCACGGACACUUGUUUUGGUCCUAAUUUGGUUGUUUCCAUUCAAUUUGACCUCUCUGAUCAGGACACUUCUCUAUCAAGGACAGCACUUGUCAGUCCUGAGAGGGUGACCCUAAUGGAGGUUUUUACUGUAUUGUAAUGAAAUGUCAUCUGCACCCACAUCAUGUCGGUCAUCCAAAAUGGCAGAUAUGACAUCAACUGCACUUCACGAAUUGAAAUCGGAUCACUUUAUCUCAGUAUUUUGUCACACAUGUACUUGACAAAGUUUUUGACGUAAUCCCUUUCUUAUUAAUCAUGCAGAAUAUGAACUCGUAAUAUUGACCAUAAUUAGUACAAUUUAUAUGAUGAUUCCAUACUCUUGAUCAUGUACAUUUAAAUCACUCGGAAUUUUGUGUCAAAUAUGACAGUUGUAACGUCAUCUGUAUCUAAUGUUUUAUUUCAAUCUGAUCAGUAAAUCUAAACAUAAUUUUGUACUUUACUAAGUUUUAAUAAAAUAUCUCGUUUGCUAAGCUUGCUGAACAUAGUAAACUCAAGCGUUAUCAUUAGUACUACCGGUACAUGUACGUUAAUUCCAUUGUAUAUUCGAUUCUUUUACACAUUAGUAUGUACGACUCACUCAUAAUUAUGUGGUGUAAAAUUUCCUUGAUUAAA